rnacentral:rRNA from 1 species
UAGGGAAUCUUCCACAAUGGGCGAAAGCCUGAUGGAGCAACGCCGCGUGUGUGAUGAAGGCUUUAGGGUCGUAAAGCACUGUUGUAUGGGAAGAAAUGCUAGAAUAGGGAAUGAUUCUAGUUCGACGGUACCAUACCAGAAAGGGACGGCUAAAUACGUGCCAGCAGCCGCGGUAAUACGUAUGUCCCGAGCGUUAUCCGGAUUUAUUGGGCGUAAAGCGAGCGCAGACGGUUGAUUAAGUCUGAUGUGAAAGCCCGGAGCUCAACUCCGGAAUGGCAUUGGAAACUGGUUAACUUGAGUGUUGUAGAGGUAAGUGGAACUCCAUGUGUAGCGGUGGAAUGCGUAGAUAUAUGGAAGAACACCAGUGGCGAAGGCGGCUUACUGGACAGCAACUGACGUUGAGGCUCGAAAGUGUGGGUAGCAAACAGGAUUAGAUACCCUGGUAGUCCACACCGUAAACGAUGAAUACUAGGUGUUAGGAGGUUUCCGCCUCUUAGUGCCGAAGCUAACGCAUUAAGUAUUCCGCCUGGGGAGUACGACCGCAAGGUUG